rnacentral:rRNA from 1 species
CAUCAUUAGUAUUAGAGGCACUGCCUGCCCAGUGACACUAGUUUAACGGCCGCGGUAUCCUGACCGUGCAAAGGUAGCAUAAUCAUUUGUUCCUUAAUUAGGGACUUGUAUGAACGGCCCCACGAGGGUUUAACUGUCUCUUACUUUCAAUCAGUGAAAUUGACCUUCCCGUGAAGAGGCGGGAAUAAAAAAAUAAGACGAGAAGACCCUAUGGAGCUUAAAUUAAUAUGCUCAACAGAAUUUAAACUUAGCCCGACAGGAAUAAUUAUAAUUUAACUGAGCAAUAAAUUUUGGUUGGGGUGACCUCGGAGUAUAGCAAAACCUCCGAGUGAUUAUAACCAAGACUUACCCGUCAAGGUUACAUAACUUAUUGAUCCAAUCACAUUGAUCAACGAAACAAGUUACCCUAGGGAUAACAGCGCAAUCCUAUUUAAGAGUUCAUAUCGACAAUAGGGUUUACGACCUCGAUGUUGGAUCAGGACACCCAAAUGGUGCAGCAGCUAUUANAGGUUCGUUU